GAUGAACGCUAGCGGCAGGCUUAAUACAUGCAAGUCGAGGGGCAGCAGGACUGUAGCAAUACAGUUGCUGGCGACCGGCAAACGGGUGCGGAACACGUACGCAACCUUCCUUUAAGUGAGGGAUAGCCCAGGGAAACUUGGAUUAAUACCUCGUAAUAUUUGAGAGUGGCAUCACUUUUUAAUUAUAGCUCCGGCGCUUAAAGAUGGGCGUGCGACUGAUUAGGUAGUUGGCGGGGUAACGGCCCACCAAGCCUGCGAUCAGUAACUGGUGUGAGAGACCGACCAGUCCCACGGGCACUGAGACACGGGCCCGACUCCUACGGGAGGCAGCAGUAAGGAAUAUUGGUCAAUGGACGCAAGUCUGAACCAGCCAUGCCGCGUGGAGGAUGAAGGUCCUCUGGAUUGUAAACUUCUUUUAUCUGGGAAGAAACCCAUAUUUUCUAGUGUGGUUGACGGUACCAGAUGAAUAAGCACCGGCUAACUCCGUGCCAGCAGCCGCAGUAACAC
rnacentral:rRNA from 1 species